rnacentral:rRNA from 1 species
GACGAACGCUGGCGGCGUGCUUAACACAUGCAAGUCGAACGGAAAGGCCCUGCUUUUGUGGGGUGCUCGAGUGGCGAACGGGUGAGUAACACGUGAGUAACCUGCCCUUGACUUUGGGAUAACUUCAGGAAACUGGGGCUAAUACCGGAUAGGAGCUCCUGCUGCAUGGUGGGGGUUGGAAAGUUUCGGCGGUUGGGGAUGGACUCGCGGCUUAUCAGCUUGUUGGUGGGGUAGUGGCUUACCAAGGCUUUGACGGGUAGCCGGCCUGAGAGGGUGACCGGCCACAUUGGGACCGAGAUACGGCCCAGACUCCUACGGGAGGCAGCAGUGGGGAAUAUUGCACAAUGGGCGGAAGCCUGAUGCAGCAACGCCGCGUGCGGGAUGACGGCCUUCGGGUUGUAAACCGCUUUCGCCUGUGACGAAGCGUGAGUGACGGUAAUGGGUAAAGAAGCACCGGCUAACCACGUG